rnacentral:rRNA from 1 species
AAUAGAUACCCGGGUAGUCCACGCCGUAAACGAUGAGUGCUAAGUGUUGGGGGGUUUCCGCCCCUCAGUGCUGCAGCUAACGCAUUAAGCACUCCGCCUGGGGAGUACGGUCGCAAGACUGAAACUCAAAGGAAUUGACGGGGGCCCGCACAAGCGGUGGAGCAUGUGGUUUAAUUCGAAGCAACGCGGAGAACCUUACCAGGUCUUGACAUCCCGGUGACCACUAUGGAGACAUAGUUUCCCCUUCGGGGGCAACGGUGACAGGUGGUGCAUGGUUGUCGUCAGCUCGUGUCGUGAGAUGUUGGGUUAAGUCCCGCAACGAGCGCAACCCUUAUUCUUAGUUGCCAUUAUUCAGUUGGGCACUCUAAGGAGACUGCCGGUGAUAAACCGGAGGAAGGUGGGGAUGACGUCAAAUCAUCAUGCCCCUUAUGACCUGGGCUACACACGUGCUACAAUGGACGGUACAAACGGUUGCCAACCCGCGAGGGGAGCUAAUCCGAUAAAACCGUUCUCAGUUCGGAUUGUAGGCUGCAACUCGCCUACAUGAAGCC